rnacentral:lncRNA from 1 species
GGGCGACAAAGAAAGAGAUCCGGUGAUUUCCCCGGAGCUCACUCAUAUUUUAUCCUAAAUUCUCUCCCAGAGACCCAUGCCAAGAGAAAGCUUUAUAAAUCAGCAAAUCGCCAAGCAGUGCCCACUGGAGCAUUCAAAGCGCCGAGCCGCCUGGCUGCAGAAUUCCGUUGCAAAUCCAUUUAGUUUGCCAAGGUGGCAGCAAAACAUAGGUUUAGGCUUCAUAGAGGAGGAGAAGCGAAUGAACACUGGAGACCACAUUUUAAAACAUCGGAGAAGUAACCUACUUGAGUUUAAAUAUCUUUCCUUUUGGACAAUGAAUCUGAUCAUCUCUCAAUAACAAUUACAACAAAUCCUUUGCUACGUAAAUAUUGAGCUCAUUGUGCAUACACUUUACAAAUGUGGCCUUUGCUGACAGAAAGAAUGAAUGACUACUACGUAUCAUCAAACAAGAACCUAAGUGUGUUUACUGAAUCUAUGGUAUCCAAGCAGUGUGGUUUAUUUGAAGCAAUUAUCUCAUGGAACCAGGCUGAACGAAAUGUGUAUCUUCCAAAAAAUAUCUUUUUAAAGGUGAUUAAACUUCUAUCCUGAAAAAAGGAGACUUGGUAGGACACGAUUUCUGUUUUAAAAAAUAUGAAGAACUGCCCCAUGAAGAAGUGAUAGUUUUGUUUUCUUUGAACCUAGAAGGUUGAUUCUAAAGCAAGGUUGAUAUUAGAGACAAAUUUAGGCUUGAGGUCCAGAAACAAAAAAAACAAUAACAACAACAACAACAAAUUGAAAACAAAACCUGGUAACAAUUAGAGCCAUCUAUAAAUGUAAUGGGUUAUCUUGGAAAAUGCUAAGUUCCUUUUCCUUAGAGGUAUUCAGGUAGAUACUCAAUAAAUCUGUUGAUGUAAUAUUAGUUCGGAUAAUG